rnacentral:tRNA from 3 species
GGGCCGGUAGCUCAGCCUGGAAGAGCGCUGCCCUCGCACGGCAGAGGUCCCGGGUUCAAAUCCCGGCCGGUCCACCA